rnacentral:rRNA from 1 species
AUUGAACGCUGGCGGCAGGCCUAACACAUGCAAGUCGAGCGAGCGGCGGACGGGUGAGUAAUGUAUGGGGACUGCCCGAUAGAGGGGGAUAACUACUGGAAACGGUGGCUAAUACCGCAUACUAUCGGAUAACCCAUAUGGGAUUAGCUAGUAGGUGGGGUAAAGGCUCACCUAGGCGACGAUCUCUAGCUGGUCUGAGAGGAUGAUCAGGCAACCUGGGAAUGAGAAACGGGCCCGACUCCUACGGAGGCAGGAGUUGGGAAUAUUGCACCAUGGGCGCAAGCCUGAAGCAGCCAUGCCGCGGGGAUGAAGAAGGCCUUAGGGUUUUAAAGUACUUUCAGCGGGGAAGCGUUACCCGCAGAAGAAGCACCGGCUAACUCCGUGCCAGCAGCCGCGGUAAUUC